UACGUAGGCAGCAAGCGUUGUUCGGAAUUACUGGGCGUAAAGAGUGUGUAGGCGGUUUUCUAAGUUUGGUGUGAAAUCUCCCGGCUUAACUGGGAGGGUGCGCCGAAUACUGAAAGACUAGAGUGCGGGAGAGGAAAGUGGAAUUCCUGGUGUAGCGGUGAAAUGCGUAGAUAUCAGGAGGAACACCGGUGGUGUAGACGGCUUUCUGGACCGUAACUGACGCUGAGACACGAAAGCGUGGGUAGCAAACAGG
rnacentral:rRNA from 1 species